UCAUUCAACUAUUUCCACAAUUUGGAAAUGCAGAGUGAAUAUGAGAACAAUUCAACUUUGGCAAAAGUAAAAAAGAAGCGGCAAUAUUUCCAUCAGCGAUCCUAUAUUACAAGCGAAAGCGUUCGCAUUUGUUAGAUAACUUGAAUUAGAAGAUUUUGAGUGCACGGUUCGAUGGAUAUAACGAUUUAGAAAGAGGCACAACAUUUUUUUUUCCAUAAAAAAAGUGGGGAAGCAAUAGAUGCACCGGAUCUACAACGAUUGGAUAAUCACAGUAUGGCCAAAUUUAAGGAAAGGAUGCAACGACGAUGAAGUUUUCAAUACAGAUGAAACAGUAAAUUCAUUAACAUGCCCUGUUAGUGUAAAUCCAUGCGAGAUCGUGUUUCAGUCAUUUAAUUUAGCUAAUAGCUAAAUUAGCAAAAAUACAAUGACCAAAAGUAUUUUCCUUGUAAAUCAAAGUCAAAUACAUUGACCAACAAUUAACUGAAGAUGCAACUUUAAGUACAGUAAAUUUGGUGAUUUGAAAAUUAAUAACAUUUUAAUUUCAGUAUUGUACGCAGUAUUAAGAAGG